rnacentral:misc_RNA from 1 species
ACCGGUCCUGCCCGUGCAGCGACGUCUACGCAUGCAUUCCUCUUCAAUUGUAGGCACAAGUGCGACGUAGCCUUGGCCGCAUCUCGGGUUUCCUGUGUUGCAUACCUACCGGAUGGAACGCGAACGUCAAAAAAUCAACGAUCGUCCAAUGCUUCCUUGUAGGCUGCGGGCGAUCCACGAAGCGAGAUUUGUGAUCCUCGAUGCAGAGUCCGAGACCCAACCAUCGAGGCCCACGCUUCCCUGCUCGGACUGAGGGAUUCUGUGAACGCUGCGGGCAAGGGGUCUCCAAGGCCCUCAUCUGCCCACAUUUCAAAAACAUUCGAACGACGUUCGACGGCGCGCUGGCCUCACGGCCACGCACCUCGAUGUUCGCGAGGAAUGCUACCU